AUCCAGAUGACGAGUACCGAAUAGGACGAAACGCGCGUCCCGCAU
rfam:Schistosoma margrebowiei strain Zambia genome assembly, scaffold: SMRZ_scaffold0002946